UACGAAGGGGGCUAGCGUUGCUCGGAAUCACUGGGCGUAAAGCGCACGUAGGCGGAUUGCUAAGUCAGGGGUGAAAUCCUGGAGCUCAACUCCAGAACUGCCUUUGAUACUGGAGAGCUUGAGUCCGGAAGAGGUGAGUGGAACUCCGAGUGUAGAGGUGAAAUUCGUAGAUAUUCGGAAGAACACCAGUGGCGAAGGCGGCUCACUGGUCCGGUACUGACGCUGAGGUGCGAAAGCGUGGGGAGCAAACAGG
rnacentral:rRNA from 1 species